rnacentral:rRNA from 1 species
GACGAACGCUGGCGGCGUGCUUAACACAUGCAAGUCGAACGGAAAGGCACUGCUUUUGUGGGGUGCUUGAGUGGCGAACGGGUGAGUAACACGUGAGUAACCUGCCCUAGACUCUGGGAUAACUUCAGGAAACUGGGUCUAAUACCGGAUAGGAGCCCCAGCUGCAUGGCUGGGGUCGGAAAGUUUCGGCGGUUGGGGAUGGACUCGCGGCUUAUCAGCUUGUUGGUGGGGUAGUGGCUUACCAAGGCAUUGACGGGUAGCCGGCCUGAGAGGGUGACCGGCCAAAUUGGGACUGGGAAACGGCCCAAGCCCCUUCGGGGAGGAGCAGGUGGGGAUAUUGCAAAAUGGGCGGAAGGCUGAUGCAGCAACGGCGGGGGCGGGAUGACGGCCUUCGUGUUGUAAACCGUUUUCGCCUGGGACGAAGCGUAAGUGACGGUAAUGGGUAGAGAAGCACCGGCUAACUACGUG